CCUACGGGUGGCAGCAGUGGGGAAUAUUGCACAAUGGGGGGAACCCUGAUGCAGCGACGCCGCGUGAGUGAAGAAGUAUUUCGGUAUGUAAAGCUCUAUCAGCAGGGAAGAAGAUGACGGUACCUGACUAAGAAGCCCCGGCUAACUACGUGUCAGCAGCCGCGGUGAUACGUAGGGGGCAAACGUGAUCCGGAUUUACUGGGUGUAAAGGGAGCGUAGACGGCAGGGCAAGUAUGGAGUGAAAGCACUGGGCCCAACCCCGGGACUGCUUUGGAAACUGCCAUGCUAGAGUGCUGGAGAGGUAAGCGGAAUUCCUAGUGGAGCGGUGAAAUGCGUAGAUAUUAGGAGGAACACCAGUGGCGAAGGCGGCUUACUGGACAGUAACUGACGUUGAGGCUCGAAAGCGUGGGGAGCAAACAGGAGUAGAUACCCCUGUAGUC
rnacentral:rRNA from 1 species